rnacentral:rRNA from 1 species
UGGGGUAUAUUGCACAAUGGGCGCAAGCCUGAUGCAGCCAUGCCGCGUGUGUGAAGAAGGCCUUCGGGUUGUAAAGCACUUUCAGCGGGGAGGAAGGCGAUAAGGUUAAUAACCUCAUCGUUUGACUUUCCCUGCAGAAGAAGCACCGGCCAACUCCGUGCCAGCAGCCGCGGUAAUACGGAGGGUGCAAGCGUUAAUCGGAAUUACUGGGCGUAAAGCGCACGCAGGCGGUCUGUCAAGUCGGAUGUGAGAUCCCCGGGCUCAACCUGGGAAAUGGAUUCGAAACAGGCAGGCUAGAGUCUUGUAGAGGGGGGUAGAAUUCCAGGUGUGGCGCUGAAAUGCGUAGAGAUAUGGGGGAAUACCGGUAGCGGAGGCGACCCCCUGGACAAAGACUGACACUCAGAUGCGAAAGCGUGGGGAGCAAACAGG